rnacentral:rRNA from 1 species
UACGUAGGGGGCAAGCGUUGUCCGGAUUUAUUGGGCGUAAAGAGCGUGUAGGCGGCCAGAUAGGUCCGCUGUGAAAACUCGAGGCUCAACCUCGAGACGCCGAUGGAAACCAUUUGGCUAGAGUCCGGAAGAGGAGAGUGGAAUUCCUGGUGUAGCGGUGAAAUGCGCAGAUAUCAGGAAGAACACCCGUGGCUAAGGCGGCUCUCUGGGACGGUACUGACGCUGAGGAGCGAAAGCGUGGGGAGCGAACAGG